rnacentral:rRNA from 1 species
AACGACUGCUAAUACCGCAUAAUGUCAUUUAGGGGCAUCCUUUUAUGACCAAAGAUUUAUCGCUGAAAGAUGGGCUCGCGUCUGAUUAGCUGGUUGGCGGGGUAACGGCCCACCAAGGCUUCGAUCAGUAGCCGGACUGAGAGGUUGAUCGGCCACAUUGGGACUGAGAUACGGCCCAGACUCCUACGGGAGGCAGCAGUGGGGAAUAUUGGGCAAUGGGGGAAACCCUGACCCAGCAACGCCGCGUGAGGGAAGAAGGUCUUCGGAUUGUAAACCUCUUUUACCAGGGAAGAAGAAAGUGACGGUACCUGGAGAAAAAGCCACGGCUAACUACGUGCC